rnacentral:rRNA from 1 species
AUUGAACGCUGGCGGCAGGCCUAACACAUGCAAGUCAGGCGAGCGGCGGCCGGGUGGGUAAUGUAUGGGGAUCUGCCUGAUGGAGUGGGAUAACUACUGGCAACGGUAGCUAAUACCGCAUACCAUCAAAUGAACCCAUAUGGGAUUAGCUUGUAGGUGGGGUAACGGCUCACCUAGGCGACGAUCCCUAGCUGGUCUGCGAGGAUGAUCAGCAACACUGGGACUGAGACACGGCCCAGACUCAGACGGGAGGCAGCAGUGGGGAAUAUAGCACAAUGGGCGCAAGCCUGAUGCAGCCAUGCCGCGUGUAUGAAGAAGGCAUUCGGGUUGUAAAGUACUUUCAGUCGGGAGGCGUUACCGACAGAAGAAGCACCGGCUAACUCCGUGCCAGCAGCCGCGGUAAUUC